rnacentral:misc_RNA from 1 species
GAUGAAGAACGCAGCGAAAUGCGAUAAGUAUUGUGAAUUGCAGAAUUCAGUGAAUCAUCGAAUCUUUGAACGCACAUUGCGCCCGCCAGUAUUCUGGCGGGCAUGCCUGUUCGAGCGUCAUUUCAACCAUCAAGCCCCAGGCUUGUGUUGGGGACCUGCGGCUGCCGCAGGCCCUGAAAACCAGUGGCGGGCUCGCUGUCACACCGGGCGUAGUAGAUUUUAUCUCGCUCAGGGCGUGCUGCGGGUUCCGGCCGUUAAAAAGCCUUUUUUACCCAAGGUUGACCUCGGAUCAGGUAGGAAGACCCGCUGAACUUAAGCAUAUCAAUAAGCGGAGGA